rnacentral:lncRNA from 1 species
AACGGAGGGAGUAUUAGCUAGUGGGGAGGAGCUAAUGGAUCCUAAUGGCUUGUGAAAAGACCAAAAGGGGGAGAGAAAGGGGAGGUGAGGAGAUAAAUGGUCAAAAGUGUCAUUUAUGGACUUUAACUCUAUCCAUUAACUAUGUCUCCAAACGGAAGUGCUAAUGGGUGGAAGUGCUAAACUUUAGCAAUAACACAUCAAACACGCCGCACGAAGUCCGCUUGCGUUCCAAACACGGUUCGAAAUCUCAAAACGUUCAUACUACCAAGUGUAAGAUGUAUUCCUAAAAAAAAGAAGUUGUGUAAAGAUGUAGGAGCAGGGAUCAACUGUCUGGCGACUAGCCAAAUGGCUCACUGCGUUUGGACUCCACGCAUGGGGUGGACAUGGCUCAGCCAGUGACAGGCUCUGACCGCGGACGCUUGUUCGGU